rnacentral:rRNA from 1 species
UACGAAGGUCCCAAGCGUUAUCCGGAUUUAUUGGGUUUAAAGGGUGCGUAGGCGGUCUAUUAAGUCAGUGGUGAAAGCCCCAAGCUCAACUUGGGAACUGCCAUUGAUACUGAUGGACUUGAGUACAUUUGAGGUGGGCGGAAUGUGUCAUGUAGCGGUGAAAUGCUUAGAUAUGACAUAGAAUACCGAUAGCGAAGGCAGCUUACUACAUGUUAAUUGACAGCUGAGGCACGAAAGCGUGGGGAGCAAACAGG